UACGAAGGACCCAAGCGUUAUCCGGAUUUAUUGGGUUUAAAGGGUGCGUAGGCGGGUUGUUAAGUCAGUGGUGAAAGCUCCGAGCCUAACUCGGAAACUGCCAUUGAUACUGACGAUCUUGAGUACAUUUGAGGUGGGCGGAAUGUGUCAUGUAGCGGUGAAAUGCUUAGAUAUGACACAGAACACCGAUUGCGAAGGCAGCUCACUAAACUGUAACUGACGCUGAGGCGCGAAAGCGUGGGGAGCAAACAGG
rnacentral:rRNA from 1 species